rnacentral:rRNA from 1 species
ACACGUAUGAAAGACAAGCUGAAAGACUUUUCUCAAUGAUGUAAGUGGUGGUGCAUGGUCGUUCUUAGUUCGUGGAGUGGUUUGUCUGGUCUAUUCCGAUAACGAGCGAGACCCCGGUGAUCCUAAUAGGGGCGGCAGCCCGGCUUGCCCUCGCAAGAGGGCUCGCUAGCACGCCGCUUCAACGUUGCUUCUUAGACAUAUCUGGGCCGACAAGGUCCUUGAAAUGGGUUAAUAACAGGUCAGUCAUGCCCUUAGAUGUUCUGGGCCGCACGCGCGUUACAAUGGCAUGCAAAGAAAGUGCUCAAAAGGGCGUAUCCGCGGCCUACAGGCCGUGGUAACCCCUAGUCCCUGCCUUGACUGGGACAGACUAUUGCAAUUAUUGGUCUCAAACGAGGAAUUUUUAGUAGUCGCAGGUCAUUAACCUGCGACGA